rnacentral:rRNA from 1 species
AUGUGGUGUGGGUAGCGGAGUAAUUCCAAUCGUACUUGGAGUUAGCUGGUUCUCUCCGAAAUUGCUUUAGGGCUAGCCUCGAGGUAUAGAGUCAUGGAGGUAGAGCUCUGUUUGGACUAGGGGCCCUUCUCGGGUUUCCGAAUUCAGAUAAACUCCGAAUGCCAUGUACUUAUACUCGGGUGUCUGACUGCGAGUGAUAAGAUCCGUAGUCGUAAGGGAAACAGCACAGACC